rnacentral:rRNA from 1 species
GAUGAACGCUGGCGGCGUGCUUAACACAUGCAAGUCGAACGGUGAAGCCAAGCUUGCUUGGUGGAUCAGUGGCGAACGGGUGAGUAACACGUGAGCAACCUGCCCCAGUCUCUGGGAUAAGCGCUGGAAACGGCGUCUAAUACCGGAUAUGAGCUCUCAUCGCAUGGUGGGGGUUGGAAAGAUUUUCGGUCUGGGAUGGGCUCGCGGCCUAUCAGCUUGUUGGUGAGGUAAUGGCUCACCAAGGUGUCGACGGGUAGCCGGCCUGAGAGGGUGACCGGCCACACUGGGACUGAGACACGGCCCAGACUCCUACGGGAGGCAGCAGUGGGGAAUAUUGCACAAUGGGCGGAAGCCUGAUGCAGCAACGCCGCGUGAGGGAUGACGGCCUUCGGGUUGUAAACCUCUUUUAGCAGGGAAGAAGCGUGAGUGACGGUACCUGCAGAAAAAGCACCGGCUAACUACGUGCCAGCCGCCGCAGUAAAAC